GAGGGAGAGGUGGUCAGAAGGGUGGACAACCCAACAUUGCUUGAAAGAGUGCAGCCUGGAAUUCAACUGGAUGCAGACCUGUAGAGAAGAUGGAGUUUGUGGCCCCCAGGGAAUGAAGAAAAAGUAUUUGAACAUUAGACGUCCCAUAUUCAAUGUGGCUUGUGAGCUGAUUGCAAGUGGGGAUCCUGGCAUUUAGUGUCAUGUUACCCCACUUUCUCCAAGCUGUCCUAGCUUCCAUCCAGCUCUCUUAGCAUGCCAAACUCUUCCCAAUGUUAGGGCUUUAGAGUUUUGAAUUUCUCUGCCUGUGUGUUAGACACCUAGGGGAAACCACAAUUUCUUUUCUCUUUUACUCAGAAUAUGCCUACUAAGUAAGAGACUACAUUUCUUACUUGGCUUUCAUCUAGGUGUGGCCAUAUUACAAAACCAUCUGGCACCAACAGGAUAUGAGUGUAAGUAAUUAUCUCCAACAUAUGGAGAAGGCACUGAUAUUAUCAUUAUCCCACUUCACAGGGAAGAUAUAGUCUCACAGAGGUUCAGUAACUCCGUUAAUUAAAGGCUUAUACUUUCAAGGUGAGACUUUUCUAUGCUCAUGUAUCAUGUAUCUGUUGUGAGUUUGGUUUGCAAGAGUUGUAGGAUAUCUGUAAUUGCCAUCCAGAUCCUAGUGAAUGAUGACCACACCAAGGCAGGCCAGUUAGUUCCAUGAUAGCCUAUCUGAAUACCUGAACAUCCAGCCAAACUUCCUGUACAAGCGAAACGUUCCAGUCAUCUGUUUAAAGAAGUUCUUCAAGAUGGCCAUCUCCCCUUCCUUCCUGCUGGCUGGAAGCAACUGUAGAAGUCACAAGGAGGAUGACAGAACUGCCUUUCUCAGCCUGGAUCCCUAGAUGACUUUACAGAGCAGAGCUUGACUGCCAACGCUGGACUGUUAUGUGAAAGAGAAAUAAACUUUUGUUUUGUUUAGCCAUUAAAUUUCAGAAUCUAUGUAUUAACCAUUACCGCCAACU